rnacentral:rRNA from 1 species
UACGGGGGGGGCAAGCGUUGUUCGGAAUUACUGGGCGUAAAGGGCUUGUAGGCGGCCAACUAAGUCCGACGUGAAAUCCCCAGGCUUAACCUGGGAACUGCGUCGGAUACUGGAUGGCUUGAAUUCGGGAGAGGGAUGCAGAAUUCCAGGUGUAGCGGUGAAAUGCGUAGAUAUCCGAAGGAACAUCAGUGGCGAAGGCGACUUCCUGGACCAGAACUGACGAUCAGGCACGAAAGCGUGGGGAGCAAACAGG